rnacentral:misc_RNA from 1 species
AGGCAUCAACAUUAAUUUUAACACUUCCCAAAACAGGGGGAAUCAAACCUUUGUGAUUUUGGCUAAUAUGAGCCUGAGCAAAAAGAGGGGAGAAAUGGAUUGGAGAGUCCAGCACUUGCAAUUUCAUAUAACCCUUGCGAGCCUUCCUAAUGACAGUUAUAGGAUCCGGCUGCUUAGAUUCAAACACCAAUUCGUUCCUUGGUUUCUAGAUAUGCCAGCAUAUAAAACUAGCAAUUCUAAUUUCAACAAAAUCUGAAGAUCCAAUUUGUAUAAAAUUAUGGAGCCAAUGCGUUAUAGAAAUU